CAGGGAAGCCAAGCAGGAACAGUUGGAGCAUGGGGCUGCUGCUUUGAAGGAAUGGCAAGAGACCGCUCAAGUCCUGAGUGCUGCACUGAGCAAGAGUGAAAUUUCCAAAGGGGCUCUGAAGAAAGACUUGGACAUCCUGAAGGAAAGGCUUCGUCUCCAGCAGGCUGUUGGAGCAGAAGGGAAGCGGCUGUCAGAGCGCUCCAGGAAGGGUGUGGAAUGUGUGCGGGACCAGGUUGCAGCAGCAGCAAAAGACAAGCCAGAGAAGCGUGAGCUCAGGAGAACUUUUGAGGUGGAACCUGAAGGGAGGAGAAUCAGAACUUUUAGGAGAGUGUUCACCCCAGACUACUUUACAUUGCCUGUCUCCCAGUCUGACCAGCAAAAUGCAUCAACCUCUGAAAGACAAGAGUCCUCCAGUAGCUCAGGGGAGCUGCAGCCCUCGUGCUGAGGCACAGCCCGUGGAGAAAGGGGUGUCCUUGCUGCAGUCACAGCUGGCCCGAGACCGGCAGGACAACCUGGAGAGCUGUGCAGGGAGCAGGCAGGAGAUGCUCCCGUUGAGUCACAAGGACCUCCUUACUUCCUAGGCUUGUCAGAGAGGAGCCAGGGUGCAGCUGGAUGCAGUCGUAGCCUCAGAUUUUGUCCAUAGUUUAUGUUUAAAGGAUUGCAGGUGUAACUGUAGGAUUGUAGGAUAAUAGGUGUAGUCGUUGCAGCAGUCGUAGCCUCAGAUUUUGUCCAUAGGUUAUGUUUAAAGGAUUGCAGGUGUAACUGUAGGAUUGUAGGAUAAUAGGUGUAAUUGAACCUUUCUAUAACUGUGUUCCAGAGGAUGAAGGAUAUAUUUAUAGAAAAAUAAAGUGUUUAUUAUGAUCAUGAUUAAAUGAAAAGAUCUUUAUCAGAGUUCUUGACUACCCAGUACAGAGAACUAUAACUUCCACUAUAGUGCAUUACAUUUGAAGCAACAUGGAAGCAGUUAUAUUCAAGCCAGCAAAACCUAUUAUUAAUUAAAGAUUGAUGCUUCUCACCCAAACCAAUGGCCGUGGGCAAAUAUUUCUGUCAGCCUCAAGGAGUGACCUUGAGGGGCAUCCUCACUCCAGGGAGGAAUCUGCAGAUGGGAGACACGUGACAUGAACCACUUUGGUGAGGGCAGGAGA